CUCCAGACUCCUACGGGAGGCAGCAGUGAGGAAUAUUGGCCAAUGGGCGGAAGCCUGAACCAGCCAAGUCGCGUGAGGGAAUAAGGCCCUACGGGUCGUAAACCUCUUUUGCCGGGGAGCAAGGGCGGGGACGUGUCCCGGCCCGGAGAGUACCCGGAGAAAAAGCAUCGGCUAACUCCGUGCCAGCAGCCGCGGUAAUACGGGGGGUGCAAGCGUUGUCCGGAAUCAUUGGGCGUAAAGCGUUCGUAGGCGGUAUGUCAAGUCUGAUGUUAAAGCCCGGGGCUCAACUCCGGUUCGGCAUUGGAUACUGGCAAACUAGAAUGUGGUAGAGGUAAAGGGAAUUCCUGGUGUAGCGGUGAAAUGCGUGGAUAUCAGGAGGAACAUCGGUGGCGAAAGCGCUUUACUGGACCAUUAUUGACGCUGAGGAACGAAAGCCAGGGGAGCAAAUGGGAUUAGAUACCCGCGUAC
rnacentral:rRNA from 1 species